UACGUAGGCAGCGAGCGUUGUUCGGAGUUACUGGGCGUAAAGAGUGCGUAGGCGGUGCUCUAAGUUUGGUGUGAAAUCUCCCGGCUCAACUGGGAGGGUGCGCCGAAAACUGGAGUGCUCGAGUAUGGGAGAGGUAAGCGGAAUUCCUGGUGUAGCGGUGAAAUGCGUAGAUAUCAGGAGGAACACCUGCGGUGUAGACGGCUUACUGGACCAUGACUGACGCUGAGGCACGAAAGCGUGGGGAGCAAACGGG
rnacentral:rRNA from 1 species